CUAAGGAUGAUCCUUCAGCGAGCUUCGGCUCACUAUCGGAUCGUUUUAGAAACAUCAGUGGCCAACGGUCGUCAGGAUCGUUGAGCUGCAUUGGCGGGAUUUCGCCGUCUACGUUUCUCUUUCUUCGCGGACGAACACGCGCUGGGCCUGCAUGGUUGCAGGAUCCCUGGUCCUUAACUGGAUAUGCGUUAGGGGCUUGUAGCUCAGUUGGUUAGAGCGCGCGCUUGAUAAGCGUGAGGUCGGAAGUUCAAGUCUUCCCAGGCCCACCACACUCAUCGGGUGAGCAUUCGUCUUCUGGUUACGGGGCCAUAGCUCAGCUGGGAGAGCGCGUGCUUUGCAAGCAUGAGGUCGUCGGUUCGAUCCCGUCUGGCUCCACCAGAUGGUUUGAUCAUCGGCUGAUCGUGCACCUAAAUCGUCCGCGAAACAUCACUUCGCAUCUUGCUAGUCUGGAUAGACAGCAAGCUGCGUGAUUUCUGACAUCGUAAAGAGGAGAUCGAUCCGAGUUGGGUCGUGCAGCAAGCAAUUGCUACGCGACACUUCAUUAUCUCCGGAUCAUUUCGGCGCUCGUGCGUCUUCCAAGGCAGCUCACAAGGCUGCGUUGAGAGAUAAGCGAGUUGUAAAUGAUCCUUUUAGCGAAGCUUGACCGCCUCGCUAUCGGAACGAUCUUACGAAGCAAGCUGGUCUUUCUAAUCAUUGUCCGGCUGCAGAUAGCGUUCAUCGAGGGCGCGUGCCGCAAGGCAGUUCUGCAGACAACAUUCUGCCGAGUGUGUGGACAUUGAUAAUGAGAGC
rnacentral:tRNA from 1 species